ACAGCCUACGGGGGGCAGCAGUCGAGAAUCAUUCACAACGGGGGAAACCCUGAUGAUGCGACGCCGCGUGGGGGAAUGAAGGUCUUCGGAUUGUAAACCCCUGUCAUGUGGGAGCAAAUUAAAAAGAUAGUACCACAAGAGGAAGAGACGGCUAACUCUGUGCCAGCAGCCGCGGUAAUACAGAGGCCUCAAGCGUUGUUCGGAAUCACUGGGCGUAAAGCGUGCGUAGGCUGUUUCGUAAGUCGUGUGUGAAAGCCGCGGGCUCAACCCGCGGCCGG
rnacentral:rRNA from 1 species